CAGCUGCACAGCUGGCGCCCUGAGCAGUCGCUAAAUGAUGGGCGGUGUAUGGUCUUGUAGGCUGACUGACGGCUCCACACGGCUACCCCCGGAAGACCAAGAAAAGAGGAAGAUGAUCAACCCCUACAGCGCCUAACUCUUCUAACAACAGAAGAACUAACAUUCUAAUAUUGUUUUCUUAUUCCGGCCCCAAUUGAUAAGGCCAUUGGACUUUGAAACUGACUUUCGUCAACCUCGUGACUCGAGACCCUGCGACCCCCACCCAGCUUGCAAAAACCCGCCCUAACCUGUAACUUCUGUAACUUUACAUUGCUUACCCCAAACCUAUAAAACCAACUCCUACCGCACCGCCCUCUGCUGAUUCUCUUUCCUGACUCAGCCCACCUGCAUCGGGUGACUAAACAGCCUCGCUGCUCACGCAAAGCCUGUUUGGCCGGGGUCGGGGGAGGGGGUCUCUUCAUUCAGAGAGCGUUUCAACAUUUGGUGCAGAAAACCCGGACAAGGAUACUCCUGUGGGGAGACCAGCCCCCUGUCCCCUCUUCCCCCUCUGGGAAGAGACCCACCUGAGACCUCGACACAUCAGACCAGCUCAGCAGCUCCCGCUUAGCGUGAGGAACAGCCACCUUCAGAUUGGCUAUCUCCUUCUAGUAGAGAAAAAGGAGACACGCUAUCCGUGUGGAGCCAGAGGAGACAAGUCUCUCCCUCUAGCUCACAAACUGACGUGGUCAUGGACUCUGGAAGACAGUCUUCCCUUGGGGUCUGGUCAAUCGCACGGACGCCUGCCUUCCACAUUACAGUCCAAGAAUCCGUCAGGGAUGCCUACUGAAAACCCUGGUAGCUGCUCGCCUCUUCUCCUGGUCUCUACUCCUUUCCUUAAAACUUAUCUCUGGCCAGGAGCGGUGGCUCACGCCUGUGAUCCAAGCACUUUGGAGGCCAAGGCGGGCGGAUCACCUGAGGUCGGGAGUUCAAGACCAGCCUGACCAACAUGGUGAAACCCCGUCUUUAUAUAUAUAUAUAUAUAUAUAUAUAUAUAUAUAUAUAAACUCCUUCGCUAUGGGCAGUAUUCCGCCCUCUAUUCCUCAGUCUUCCCCUCUAGCCUGUGUCCUAAAAAACCUAAAACCUCUUCAACUGUCGCCCGAUCGGAAACCUAAAAGUCUAAUUUUUUCUGUAAUACAGACUGCCCUCAAUACAAAUUAGACAAUGAUUCCAAAUGGCCAGAAACUGUUCACUGGGCCAGGCGAGCCCACAGCCUGGGGCUCCAUCCUGCUUCAAAUGCCAAAAGCUUGGACAUUGGGCUAACAAAUGCUCACAGCCCAAGGCCCCUUCCAAGCCGUGUCCUGUCCUUGGGGAACCCCACUGGAAAUCGGACUGUAUGGCUCAUAUUACAGCCACUCCCAAGGCUCCUGGAGUUCAAAUCCAAUAUUCUCCAGCUGACUCCUUUCCAGAACUUCUCAACUUAGCAACUGAAGAUUGACGCUGCCAGACUGCUUUGGAAGCCCCCUGGACCAUCAUGGACUCCGAGCUUCAGGUACCUGGCCAUAUGAAAACACCCUAGCUGGAAGGUCAGCCCUAGUUAAAAGCCUCACCCCUUGGUCUCUGCAACCUUGGUGGACAGGACCCUUCCUGAUCGUCUAUAGUACCCCAACUGCUGUUGGUCUACCCUCUCCAGUGGGUCCAUCAUUCCAGGAUAAAGCUGUGGCCAUCAGACAAUCGGCCUGACUCCUCCGCCUCCUCCUGGAAGUCGCAAGUACUGUCUCUCACUUCUUAUAAACUCACCCAUGUGCCCAAGGUGGAAGAGUAACCCUAUACAAACCUAACAUACCUUUUACUUUCACUAGGCAUCUUUUUCCUAACACCACUAUUUAACACGGUCGCCCCUACUACUUAAACUACACCUCAGAAAGUCUGUUUCUAUUUUCUAACUGCGCUGAAAUUCACGGUACUCAUUUACUUUUACACGCCCUGCUUUUGUUUAAGUUGCUAGUUAGGCCGGGCACAGUGGCUCACGCUCAUAAUCCCAGCACUUUGGGAGGCCGAGGCAGGUGGAUCACAAGGUCAAGAAAUCAAGACCAUCCUGGUCAAACCUGGUAAAACCCCCGUCUCUACUAAAAAUACAAAAAUUAGCUGGGCGUGGUGGCACCCACCCGCACCUGUAAUCCCAGCUACUCAGGAGGCUGAGGCAGGAAAAUCAGUUGAACCUGGGAGGCAGAGGUUGCAGUGAGCUGAGAUCACACCACUGUACUCCAGCCUGGCGAUAGAGCGAGACUCCAUCUAAAAAAAAAAAAAAGUUGCUGGUUUACACUUUUCCUCCAGGCAGUUACAAGUGAUACUUCAUGGUUUUACCCUCAGCUUGCCACCCUUAAUUCUCUUAGAGUGGAUAAUCUUCAGUGGCAGGGAACUCUCCAAUUCUUCCACCCGGAUAAAGUCCUCUUCUUUUAUACUCACUCUUUUUUUUUUAAUUGAGACCGUUUCACUCUUGUUACCCAGGCUGGAGUGCAAUGGCGCAAUCUCGGCUCACACAACCUCCACCUCCUGGGUUCAGGCAAUUCUCAUGCCUCAGCCUCCUGAGUAGCUGGGAUUACAGGCACGCGCCACCAUGCUCAGCUAAUUUUUUGUAUUUUUAGUAGAGACAGGGUUUCACCAUGUUGACCAGGAUGGUCUCGAUCUCUUGACCUUGUGAUCCACCCGCCUCGGCCUCCCAAAGUGCUGGGAUUACAGGCGUGAGCCACCGCGCCUGGCCCUUUUCUACUCACUCUUAAUCUCACUCCCAUUCUCUGCUCAUACCCAAUCUUGUUAAUGAAAGUGAGCAGUUCUAGAUAGCACACGCUUCCUCAUACACCAUGAAAACAAAUGCUCUCCUCCACAGUUACCCUACCAAACUCCAUUGCAACCUUUAACAGCUGCCGCCCUUGCUGGUUCCCUUGGCAUUUGGGUCCGAAGCCCACCCCCUCAGAACACUUACUUGCCUUUUCAGUUCUGUUUAAGCCAAGGACUUUUUUCCUCGGUGGUUCUCCUUCUUACAUCUGCCUUCCUACCAACCGGACAGGCACUUGUACCCUAGUUUUCCUUACUCCCAAAAUUCAGUUUGCCAAUGGAAACGAAAGCCUCCCUGUUCCCCCUGUGGUCCUGACACAACACAAGCAGAUCAUUCCAUUGAUCCCCUUACUUGUAGGGUUAGGAAUUACUACUGCACUCGGCACGGGCACAGCAGGCCUUACCCCUUCAAUCGUCUCCUCCCGUAGCCUCUCUAAUGGUUUCUCUGCUAGCACUGCAGAAUUACCUCAAUCAUUAUCCCUCCUUCAAGCUCAAGUAAAUCCCUGGCUGCAGCUGUCCUCCAAAACCGCAGAGGUCUUGAUUUACUGACUCCUGGAAAAGGAGGUCUUUGCCUAUUUCUAAAUGAAGAAUGUUGUUUUUAUGUAAACCAGUCUGGCCUUGUAUAUGAUGCCAUCAGUAAAUUAAAAGACAGAGCCCAAAAGCUUGCUAAUCAGGCAAAUGGUUAUUCUGGACCUGACUGGACUGGCUGGACACUCUCUAACUGGGAGUCAUGGCUUCCUCCAAUCCUUAGUCCUCUGAUACCUAUCUUUCUCCUUCUCUUAUUUGGACCCUGUGUUUUCUGAUUAAUCUCUCAAUUCCUACAAAAUCGUAUCCAAGCUAUAACCAGUCAGUCAAUAUGCCAAAUGCUCCUUCUAACAACCCCACAAUAUCAACCUUUGCCCCAAAAUCUCUCAGCAGUCUAAAUUCUUUCCCAUUUUUAGGUUUCUGAGCUGCCCCCAAGCCCACUCAAAGAAGCCCUGAGAAGCAUCGCCCAAUCACCCCUCUGGGCCGGCCUUCCUGAUAUUCCUCUGCCUUCCAUUCUUCACUUCUUUUUCCUUUAUAGUACUAAUAUAAAAAGACAGGAAUGUAAGGUCUUUUAGGCUGACUGACGGUGUCAUAUGACGACCCCAGAAGACCAUGGAAAGAGGAAGAUGAUCAGUCCCUGCAGUGCCUAACUAACUUGAGACAUUCUUCUAUUGUUUCUUGUUCCAGCCCUGAUUGAUAAGGCCAUUGGACUUUGUAACUGACCUUGGUCAACCUCAUGACUCCAGACCCUGCAACACCCUCCCAGCUUGCAAAAAACUACCCUAAACUGUAACUUCUGUAACUUUCCACUGCUUACCGCAGACCUAUAAAACCAGCUUCUACCGCACUGCCCUCCACUGAUUCUCUUUUGACUCAGCCCACCCGCACCCGGGUGAAUAAACAGCCUUGUUGCUCACACAAAACCUGUUUGGGGAGUCUCUUCCUUCAGAGUGAGAGUUUUAACAGGCUGUGUGUUAUUACCUACAGCUGUGGGUUAUUACCCGGCUCCACAGCUUGCUAAAUCAUGAGCAGUUGCUAAAUGAUGGGCUGUGUGUUAUAACCAAUCUUUUGGCUUCCCUGGGCCAUGUUGGAAGAAUUGUUUUGGGCCACACAUAAAAUACUAACACUAAGGAUAGCUGAUGAACUAAUAAAUAAAUAAUAAAAAUAAAAGUCACCAAACAAUCUCAAAUAUUUUAAGAAAGUUUGUGAGUUUGUGUUGAGCUACAUUCAAAGCCAAGCCCUCCAGCAGGUUGGAAAAGCUUGACUUAGAACCAGGGAGGAAAAGCAUCUUCAUUCAUUAUAUUACCUGUGCCUCUCCUCUUUCCAAAACAGAUUUGAAGCCCAAAAGUCACAGAUACAAUAGAAUAUUGAAACAAAAUGAAAAAAAGAACAAAACCUGGGAAAUGAGCUAGGAGGGGGUGACAGGUGGUGUCAGAAUUCCAGAGCUGAAAAAGGUGACAUAGUUGAAGGCUUCUGUCACGGCUAGACAGUACUCUCUUGGGAGCUAUAACAAUAAUAAAGCAUUGUGGGGAAGAACUUUACACUGUGGUUGAAUUCAUAGCUUCUUGAGUCUAGCAAGGAUGAUUUAAAUAGGAAUGAAUGUUGGGGCCUUUUUAACCUUGAAGACAGUAAAAGCAUGGUGAACAACUCAGUUCAGUACGGUAAAGCUGCACUGAUAAGCUAGAAGUUUUGAAAAUUGAUGAGUCAUCAACCUUGACUGAGUAUUGGGGUAAACAGUAUGGCAGAGGGGAUGAACAGAAGCAUAAAUAGAUGGUUUCAAAGCUACAUGGAUAACUCUCAGCCUCGGUGCAGCUUCCACUCGAGCCUUAGCAUGAAAGAUGUGCUGGAAAGAAACAGUUGAAAAUAAGUGGGAAGGGUGGUCCAAGCAGCAGGAAGCUGUGUGGGGCGGGUCCCGAGGUGAGAAACAUGAAGAUCAUACAGGAGUGUCAGCCAGCAGUGUUACCAUAAGGCAAAGCUCUGGGCCACAGUGUGGGGAGAGCACUCUGGAGAGGUGGGAAGAGCCCACAAGCAAGCAGAGUCAAGUCACAGUCACAGACACAAGUCACAGACACAAGUCAGUCUUGCCCAUGCACCACGAUGUACCAGUCUCUCAUUGUGGGGUAUCACCCAGAAUUCUUUGUCUCAUGGCCAAGAAAAUUAGAGUGUGGACACAAAGGGUGAGGUUAGAGUACAAGUUUAAUAAGCAAAAGAAGAAAGCUCACUGCAGUGGAGGGGGGCCCAAGGGGGUUGC